UUUUUGAUUUUAUUGAUGAGCAUUUUGUCUCAGAUGAAACUCAAAUGGUGUAUGUGUACACGCUUGUGUUCUAGAGUUAAAAGGGAGAAAAUGUUGAGGCCCAGCAGCUCGGGCGAGGGGUUUGAGUGAUGACUGGGGACCCCUGCUGCCAGAGCCCAUGCUCCCCACCUCCCCACCCCCAGGCAGGCACUGUGCAGUAAGGCACGCCCUCUGACUCAUCGUGCUGCUGUAAAUCCCUUUUACAUUUCUGCCUUUGUUUCUGUUUUGUAAGAUUUAUUGAAAUUUAUCUUUGCAGUGUUUGUGUUGGGCCGUGUUCUUGGCAGAGCUGUAGCCGCUGCCUAUGGACACUUACUCUCAGUGUGUGGAAUCUUCCAGAAGUUUUUAUAGAAGAAAACAGAUACUUUUGUUUUUGUUUUUGGUGGAAAAGAAUGAUCUGACCUCUCUCAGGCACAAAAUGGUUACACUAGUGAAAAAAAAAUCUGAAUUAUUUAGAAGUGCAUGUCUGUAAUAGGUUUUAGUCUGUGGCUCUAGGUAAGUGUGCAAGGCUCUGAGGAAUCCAUGCUCAUUAGCAGAAAGUUGAAACUCAUGUUGCCAAUCUUUGCCUAAUUAAUAGGCCCUUGGCACUCAUGUUAAUUAAGUUAGCCUUCAUUUUCUGAACUGUUAUCUUAGUAUA